CCUACGGGUGGCAGCAGUGGGGAAUAUUGGACAAUGGGGGCAACCCUGAUCCAGCCAUGCCGCGUGUGUGAAGAAGGCCCUCGGGUUGUAAAGCACUUUCAGUGAGGAAGAACGCCUGGUGGUUAAUACCCAUCAGGAAAGACAUCACUCACAGAAGAAGCACCGGCUAACUCCGUGCCAGCAGCCGCGGUAAUACGGAGGGUGCGAGCGUUAAUCGGAAUUACUGGGCGUAAAGCGCGCGUAGGUGGCUGGAUAAGCCGGUUGUGAAAGCCCCGGGCUCAACCUGGGAACGGCAUCCGGAACUGUCAAGCUAGAGUGCAGGAGAGGAAGGUAGAAUUCCCGGUGUAGCGGUGAAAUGCGUAGAGAUCGGGAGGAAUACCAGUGGCGAAGGCGGCCUUCUGGACUGACACUGACACUGAGGUGCGAAAGCGUGGGUAGCAAACAGGAUUAGAUACCCGGGUAGUC
rnacentral:rRNA from 1 species